rfam:Youngiibacter fragilis 232.1 contig_133, whole genome shotgun sequence.
GCGGCGGUAUCGAAUUGAACUGCACGCAAUUUAGGUUUUUCGGAAUAUUUGGAAUCGGCUUUGAUCCUUUGCGACAGAGACAGAUGA